CAGGAAGCUAUCCUAUUGGUUGAAAUUCUGUCACACCAUCGCAAUUGUCUCGAAGUUCACGAAUCUUAACAAUAUGCAAAUCUGAUCAACGUUUACACAUGAAGGAACAACAAUGCUGAGAAGGUUGAAUAACAAGCUCAAAAUGAUAGAUUUUAGGGUUACGUUUUCCAACUACACUAUUUUAGUCCUCGGGAUCCAUGUUUUGGAUUGAGUGGACAAAAACGCAUGUGACCACGUUUUGGAGACAAGWCAACUUACUUAUUCCAAAGAAACGGUUUGAAGGUACUUUCUCAUUACCCUCGCCUCUUUCCUGUACUUGGUUGAACAGCAGCAGUUGUAUAAUGUCAUACACCAUUCUAAGCAACUCGUACAAGGCCCUCAGUAGGGUUAUCAGUGGUACAAUAACAGCUUCGUUUGGAUCAGUACUCAUCGUGUUUACUGCUGUGGUGUAGUGGCAGUACGUACGAUGAAAUAUGAUGAAAGCCUGCUGUCUUGUAUUCUCAUACUAUUUAUAUACCGCGUAAAUGAGGCGUGAUCUGAUCCCUUAUUGGUAGAUUAGUACGUUACGUAUGGUUUGUUUCGUCGCCCCGCCAGGUCAAAUUAAUUACUGCUGUGAAUUAAUUUUUAUGAGAAAGCACAGUGACAAGCAUCAGAUAGGGUUGUUUUGAUGGGUCAAGCAUCAGAUAGGUAACUUUUUACAAGUCGUGGCGUGUUUAUGAAAAUUGCAGUAACGCAUGCGCGCAAUUGAAAGAAAUUUUUAAAAUACGUACGAGAAAUUCAUGGCGUGGAGUUUAGAAUGAAUUAGUGACGAAUACAAAACAUCCAUGACAAAUAGAAAACACGUAUGUUGGAACCUUGAUUCUGAGCAUGUAAAUGACGAAAUAUCAAUAUAAAAUAAUCUGCUAGAUUUUGAAAUUCAUGUGAUGAACUUCAAGUUCUCAUAACCAUCCAUUUUGGCGAGGAUGGUACUUACGCCUUAGGGGAAACACAGAGGAGGUUCCACUAGUAUCCCAGAAUGCAUUGUGUUUGAUACUAGAUGAUGGCUAGUGAACACUAGCGUGGACUGCGUCGGUGUUUCUAAUGAAACAAGUUAUCGUAGAAUUAUAAGUUGAACACCGUAGUGAAAUCGAGGAAGAGACGUGUCGCUCUUGUUCCAACAACGAGUGACAACUCUUCGAUGGAUUACUUGUUCAAUAACGUCCGUAGCCCAGCUCUUAUUCACCUUACUUCAACAUCUAGUAUAGGAGUAAGUAAGGUUUAUUAAAUAUUUUUGUUUUGUAUGAAAUGGGCAAAAAAUAUCAUACAUUUUGCCAUAAAUUCUCGUAAAUAUACUUCAAUUGUUACUGUCCAAAAGACUAUAAAUCAUGGGUCACUUUUGGUCAUUUCAAGAUUUUGCUUUUCCUAAAUAUCUGAAUUACACAUAUUUGUUGCUUAAACUUAAAAUACUCAAAUAUGUGAAAAGCAGCAAUUACUUGAUGUACCAUAUAAAAUCCAAUAUGACAUCAGGUAUGACACCACGUGACAAAGUGAACUCGAGCGAUAUAACUCUUACAAUUGGCGCAAAUCCAAACAAAUAUGUAUGUAGAUUAAGAGUAUUUCUAAUAAACAAUACAAGUUCAUGAGUUUUUACCUCGAACAGGUCACGUAACGGCUGAUACGGAAAGUUAAAGUCGCACACCGCUACACACGAGUAGAAAGCGACGCCAUAUUGGAAAACGAAACUCGCAAAGUAACUUGGGAUACUAGUGUAUCCUCAUCUGGGGGAAACUCCUAAUCAGAAAUUACCGAUUAGUUAUUAUUAUAAUAUUCUGUCACGCCAUCUCACUUGUCAAGUAUGCAAAUCUGAUACGGUCAUACUAGUACUGCAGGGUGAAAUGUUUUACAUUUUCACAUUGCUUAUGAUGGAAACGGCAUAUGAUUGGAUUUGGUUCAAAACACCUAGAAAUAUUCUAGGAAUUUUUAUUCCAGUCGCCCAUGUGAGCUGACUUGGCUGGUUAGUUUUGAUUUCUUUUACCUUUCUGUUAUAUUUACAUGGAAGACACGGUUCGUAAUUCCAUUACGUCAUCUCAUUCGCAUACGAAAUAGGGAUACGGAUAGAAGAUCAUUUUAGUGUCCUCGAUUGGUURUCACUAGAAACUAAAUCCAAUGACGUAUAAAUUAUUAAAAAAAAGAAAAAUCAUUUUGUUUAACCGUGUAGAGUAUUUAUACAAACCGAUCAUUUGAUUUGCUUUCUUUAAAGAAUAAUAAAUGUUUAGUAAUAAAAACCUCAAUUACGAA